UACGUAGGGUGCAAGCGUUGUCCGGAAUUAUUGGGCGUAAAGAGCUCGUAGGCGGUUUGUUGCGUCGGCUGUGAAAUCCCGAGGCUCAACCUCGGGUCUGCAGUCGAUACGAGCAAACUAGAGUGUUGCAGGGGAGACUGGAAUUCCUGGUGUAGCGGUGGAAUGCGCAGAUAUCAGGAGGAACACCGGUGGCGAAGGCGGGUACCUGGACCGGUUCUGACGCUGAGGCGCGAAAGCGUGGGUAGCAAACAGG
rnacentral:rRNA from 1 species